CUCUAGCCCUGCAGGGAGAAGGACUAGCUGCCUGAGAGGAAGUGCUGAAGGGGACAAUAUGGCUGUCACUCUUCAGUCCAGGUUUGUGAUUUUUCAGUAGCUCUUUACUGAGGAUCCUGACAAAGGACAACUAACUCUGAAGUGACUGACUGAAGCCCAGCCCAGGUCCAUUUUCAGUAGAGGUGAGAGAGCUCAGAAAAUCUCACCUUCGUCUUGCUGUGGAAACUGACUUCCAGACUCAUGAUUUCAAGUCUCAAUGACGGGAAAGCCAUCAAAAAUAAAGAGCAUCAUGAUAUCCCAACCGCUUCCACUAUCUGGAACUCACUGGACAGAUGAGCUGGAAAUGCAAUAAUGGGAACUGCAAUAUCUAAUUGACUUUUAAUGAAUAAAAAUGUAAUUUAGGAAAGAGAGUAGGCAGUAUUCUUAAGAAUAAUGACUACUAGGACUUCAAAGAACUACUGCAUCUUUUAACUUUAAAGGGAAUUAACAGCUUGAAACAAGAAGCGGAAAAUGAGAGAGUUUAGUGCUUGUUAUGGUUUAAUGAUGUUUGGCAGUUCUUCCACUGUUUUAAAAAUUAUCAUUCUUCUAGCUUUGUGGUAGUCUGAAAUGUGAAUAUUAAUUGUAGGAUUAAUUUCUGUGAAGGUUCAGUUAUUUUGAACUGUUUUACGUGCCAGUGACUUAUGAUUUCAUAUGGAUUCUUGGGUGACUCAAAAAGGCAAAACACACAUUUCUUGGAACGAGUCCACUUGGGAAUAUGUCUAGACUAGGUAUAUGGGUUGUGUUUAAAACUGCCUUUAUUGCAACAUCCUAAUGGACCCAUUUUCAAACAUAAACACAACCUAUUUUUUAAACUAGGCAGGGCCUGUGUGUGUGUGUGUGUGAAGGAAGGAGGAAAGGGAAAGGAAAGUGAAUGUUUGUGUUUCUGAUCUUCAGGAUAAGAGAAGAAAGGGUUUUAAAGACAAACUGAGUUCAGGGUGCUCAGUGCCUGGGUAGUGUGUGUGCCCCCAGUAGGUGUUUAUGCAUUAUUGUGAAAGUAGAAGAGGCUUUCCCCCAGUUCACUCUAGUAGUCAAGCAGCGCAUUUUACAUUGUGAAGAGCUACUUUUCCUUAUGAACCCAAUGAACGUGACACUCCCUCUCUAGAUCAGUUAUUCUUGUGCUUCCUUUUCUGAGAGCAGGAGGAAGCCUCAAUUUCUGCUCAAUAACACCAGUGUAAGUCUGGAGUAACUUCUUUGAUGUCGUAUCAAUGGGGCUAUAUUUCUGGAAUGGGCUGUUGACAAUGAACAAAGAAGCUACCCUAGCUGUCUGCACUUUUUGUAGGAAGUAAGACACAGAGGAACUAUUGCAACUAUCAUCUAUUAUUUGUGUUACAAUAAUAGCUAAAAGCCUUAAUCAAGACUGGUGCCCCACUGUGCUGUAUAUAUCAGAACACACAGUAAGAGAGAGUUCCUGCCUCAAAGAACUUGCAGUCUUAGUGCUUGGGGCUAGCAGAAGUGAAUUGCUCAAUUGCAAGCUUUAUAAAGUAUCAGAGUCUGAUUUGGACUGGUAUAGGGCCCAGACUUGUGCUAGAGAAAGAGACAAUACUAGCUGAGAGACAACAUUGUGAUUUAAUUUAAGGAAAUUCUAGCUGUGAGUAGCACUUAUGAUGUAAUUUAGUUAACUCAGGUUGCAGGACCCUUUUUUUUUUUUCCCCCUUUCAUUUAUUUUCACCCAAAACCAACUUGCCAUUAGUUAAAUUUACGCAAUGCAGACAAUAAACAAAAUCUUUUUAUGGUCUGAUCCUCUUCAGUAUGUGCAGUUUUAUCCAUUUUUAUUUCAUUCUCUUGCCGUGACCACUGAAGUGAACUGGGAUUUCAGCAUGAAUAAAAAAUAUCAUUAAUUUCUCCCUGCUGCCUCUUAAAAUUUGCUGGAAAGAUGUUUUCACCCCCAACCCUAUGUGGUAUACUCAGAUUAAAUAAUAUGGAUAUUCUUUUAUAUACACUGGAGAGCCAUUUUUAUGACUUCACUUAAGAAAAAUGGUCAAAAGCCAUCUUCUGUGACCAUUUCUUUUCUGUUUAAUUUCUAAGUGAAUUUAGUGCUCAUGAAAGAUGUCAGAUUAACAGCAUUGCAAAUUGAAGUCCUCCACCCACAGAAUAAUACAAUAUGGGCAGCAUGCAAGUGUCCUACACUCACCAUCUCACCAAUAUGUCUCAAUUAGAGCUAGAGGAAUUAUUUCCAAUGAAUGAUUUAUCUGACAAAUUUCACCUUUUUUUUUUUUCUGGUCACAAGUUGCCCAAGCUGAUCAUGAGUUAUCUUGAAUUUAUUCUAAAUUAUAUUUUGAAUGUAUUGGAAAUUAUCCACUGAAUGAUUUCUGGGGAUAACUCUGGAGAUUAUGAUCUGUUCAUUGGGAGUAUUUGAUAGUCGAGACUUACUGAUUAGACACAAGUCUAAUAAAUCAAGAGUUAUGAACCCAAACAUUUGCAAGUAUUGAAAUUCACAGUUAAGGUACAAGUUAACUCUGCCCCUACAGCCAUGCUCUCAGAAAAUCCAAAACUCGGACCGCUUUAUCCACAACAGUUUCAUCUUAUCAGUCACAGCAAAAUGAGACUGCUUUAUUCUUAAAGUUCAACUACAAAGCUUUUUUUUUUUUUUUUUUUUAAAGCUGAUGAGACUUGCAGGCUGUGAAAACCAGAUUCUCAAACUGAGAGCUGUUACAGACCUGUAUUCUCUGUGGGCUGGGCACAGGAGGACACCUAAUGCGCACUGACCAGUGGGUUACACUAACAUAUGGCAGCAGUUAGAGAAAUUCAGAAAGCUUUAGUCCCCUUUAAUUGUGCAAGAUUCAUUCAUAUUCCAAGAAAAACCUCACCUUACUCAUUUCUGAUUAGGAAAUAGGAUACUGAAGGAAAAUCAUUCCCCACAGAAUCUCAAGCUCCUCUCUUAAGGCAGUUUUUGGCUCCUUUGUGCCACAGAAAAGUCAACAAUGAAUUGGAUCAAGAGCUGAGGAUCUGGCCAAGUAAUUCAGCUCCUGUUCACCUACAUUACUCAGGCAUGUAUGGAUUCAUUACUCUUAUUGGUUCCAAACUUUCUCGGAAUGUGCCAUAUGCAAAUAAAUUUUGACCAAAAA